UCAGAAUGGAUAGUGGCUUUCAUGAUGAUGUU
rnacentral:piRNA from 1 species